UACGGGGGGAGCAAGCGUUGUUCGGAUUUACUGGGCGUAAAGGGCGCGUAGGCGGCGUGACAAGUCACUUGUGAAAUCUCCGGGCUUAACUCGGAACGGUCAAGUGAUACUGUCGUGCUAGAGUACAGAAGGGGCAACUGGAAUUCUCGGUGUAGCGGUGAAAUGCGUAGAUAUCGAGAGGAACACCUGCGGCGAAAGCGGCUUCCUGGUCCAGCAUCGACGUUCAGGCACGAAAGCGUGGGGAGCAAACAGG
rnacentral:rRNA from 1 species